UUCCUACGGGGGGCAGCAGUGAGGAAUAUUGGUCAAUGGGCGGAAGCCUGAACCAGCCAAGUCGCGUGAGGGAAUAAGGCCCUACGGGUCGUAAACCUCUUUUGCCGGGGAGCAAGGGCCGGGACGAGUCCCGGUCCGGAGAGUACCCGGAGAAAAAGCAUCGGCUAACUCCGUGCCAGCAGCCGCGGUAAUACGGAGGAUGCGAGCGUUAUCCGGAUUUAUUGGGUUUAAAGGGUGCGUAGGUGGUUAAUUAAGUCAGCGGUGAAAGUUUGUGGCUCAACCAUAAAAUUGCCGUUGAAACUGGU
rnacentral:rRNA from 1 species